rnacentral:lncRNA from 13 species
CCGUCUUUUAGUAAGACACAGACCACCCAGAACUCAUUCAGAGGAGAAUGGUUAGGAUGUUGCAGAUUUCUUUCCAGCUCAUCUGAAAACGAGUUUUCCUGUUGAGCUAAGAAUGAGCAAUGGGUAUUCUGCGUUCCUCUGAGAAUGAGAAGAGGUGUCACUGGCAGCCAGGAAUUGAUCCGGUCUUAUCUGCUGGGCCUUGGUGAUGCUACUCUGCAAGUUCUCCUUUCAGUUUAUGCUUUUGAAAACAAAAGUCCUCAUCUGUCCUUCAAGUGUGAGCCAGAGCCAGAUUCCUGA